GCAGUGGUGAUUCAGUGGUAGAGUUUUCACCUUCCAUGCGGGAAUCCCAGGUUCAAUUCCUGGCCAAGGCA
rnacentral:tRNA from 1 species